rnacentral:lncRNA from 1 species
AUUCAAGAUGUAUGCUGUGAGAUGCAGAAUUAAUAUGUAUCUUAUCAACUCAGCAAAAUUAUCAGUUAUCGAGGGCAUGACUUUGUCUCACAGAGCAGUGCCGUACACAUAGUAUGUACUCCAAAACAUGAGCUGUUGAUUGAAUUCUCAUUUGUCUCUGUGCUGCAGGAGCUGUCAUAACCCUGGGGAAGGCACAGAAGUUCCGAUUCAACCACCCAGCAGAGGCUGCUGUCCUGCGGCAGCGAAGGCAGGUUGGAGAGGCUGCUGCUGGUCGUGGCUCGUUGGAGUGGCUGGAUUUGGAUGGAGAUCUCGCUGCCUCCCGGCUGGGUCUCUCCCCUUUGCUUUGGAAGGAAAGGAGAGCGCUUGAAGAGCAAUGUGACGAGGACCAUCAGACACCGAGGGAUGGAGAGACAUCCCACAGGGCCCAGAUUCAGCAGCAGCAGAGCUACGUAGAGGAUUUGAGGCAUCAAAUCCUAGCAGAAGAGAUUCGAGCUGCGAAGGAACUGGAAUUUGACCAAGCUUGGAUUAGCCAGCAGAUUAAAGAAAACCAGCAGUGUCUGCUCAGAGAAGAGACCUGGCUGGCCAGCUUGCAACAGCAGCAGCAAGAAGACCAGGUAGCAGAGAAAGAACUUGAGGCAUCUGUGGCACUUGAUGCU